rnacentral:lncRNA from 1 species
AGUAUUACACGACGGUGUAAUGUGGCAGUGACCCGAAGGACUGUGGGCUGUCGCGCGGUGACCCGAAGGACUGUGGGCCGCGGUCGGUUGAAAGUUCCUUCUUCUGGCCUUUGUGGUAGGGAGAUAGGAUAUUGCCGAUAGAGAGGAGGAACACGAAGUCACCAGGGCCCAGGUUAGAGUGUUGUGUUAGAGUGUCGUAGAGGGUUAUGGAACCCUCGAGUUAGGGUAGCACCGAUAUACGGUGUUACAAGUUAGAUCGAGUCGUAGUUACUCAUAGUCUUAUUAGUGUGAUUGUGUUUGUGGUUGAUUGAUUUGCUUGCAGGUUCUGACAUUAAGUCCUAAGUCUGGCUUAGGUACCGGAUUAGGCUUGAUGUGUAUUUUGUUAGUGUAGGCCUGACGUUGG